rnacentral:rRNA from 1 species
AUUGAACGCUGGCGGCAGGCUUAACACAUGCAAGUCGAGCGGAUUACAGAGCUUGCUCUGUAGUUAGCGGCGAACGGGUGAGUAAUACCUAGGAAUCUGCCUAUUAGUGGGGGAUAACGUGUGGAAACGCACGCUAAUACCGCAUACGUCCUACGGGAGAAAGCAGGGGAUCUUCGGACCUUGCGCUAAUAGAUGAGCCUAGGCCAGAUUAGCUAGUUGGUAGGGUAAAGGCCUACCAAGGCGACGAUCUGUAGCUGGUCUGAGAGGAUGGCCAGCCACACUGGAACUGAGACACGGUCCAGACUCCUACGGGAGGCAGCAGUGGGGAAUAUUGGACAAUGGGGGCAACCCUGAUCCAGCCAUGCCGCGUGUGUGGAGAAGGCC